ACGUAACUAUGGCUCUGAGGCACAACUACAAGGUUUUGUUCCGGGAGCCUAGUACCUGGUGGAAGAACAAACCCAGGGAACUGGAGAGACGUACAAGGCACAGUGUUAAAGCAGAGAAGAUCCGUUGGAUGAUGGAAAAUUAUGAUCGUCACGUGACCAUUCAGUCCAUCAUGGGGAGCUCUCACCCCAAUCUACCCCCAUUACGACCCAAGCCCACCCCAUCAGGAGGCCAAACUCCCCCCAACAGGACCCAAGCCCACCCCACCAGGAGGCCAAACUACCCCCCAACAGGACCCAAGCCCACCCCAUCAGGAGGCCAAACUAGCCCCCCAUCAGGACCCAAGCCCACCCCACCAGGAGGCCAAACUACCCCCCAACAGGACCCAAGCCCACCCCACCAGGAGGCCAAACUA